rnacentral:rRNA from 1 species
AACGAACGCUGGCGGCAUGCCUAACACAUGCAAGUCGAACGAGACCUUCGGGUCUAGUGGCGCACGGGUGCGUAACGCGUGGGAACCUGCCUUUAGGUUCGGAAUAACUCAGAGAAAUUUGAGCUAAUACCGGAUAAUGUCUUCGGACCAAAGAUUUAUCGCCUUUAGAUGGGCCCGCGUUGGAUUAGCUAGUUGGUGGGGUAAAGGCCUACCAAGGCGACGAUCCAUAGCUGGUCUGAGAGGAUGAUCAGCCACACUGGGACUGAGACACGGCCCAGACUCCUACGGGAGGCAGCAGUGGGGGAAUAUUGGACAAUGGGCGAAAGCCUGAUCCAGCAAUGCGCGUGAGUGAUGAAGGCCUUAGGGUUGUAAAGCUCUUUACCGACGAUGAUAAUGACAGUAUCGGGAGAAUAAGACUCCGGCUAACUCCGUGCCAGCAGCCG